GAUGAACGCUGGCGGCGUGCCUAAUACAUGCAAGUCGAGCGAACGGACGAGAAGCUUGCUUCUCUGAUGUUAGCGGCGGACGGGUGAGUAACACGUGGAUAACCUACCUAUAAGACUGGGAUCACUUCGGGAAACCGGAGCUAAUACCGGAUAAUAUUUUGAACCGCAUGGUUCAAAAGUGAAAGACGGUCUUGCUGUCACCUAUAGAUGGAUCCGCGCUGCAUUGGCUAGUUGGUAAGGUAACGGCUUACCAAGGCAACGAUGCAUAGCCGACCGGAGAGGGUGAUCGGCCACACUGGAGCUGGGACACGGUCCAGACUCCUACGGGAGGCAGCAGUAGGGAAUCUGCCGCAAUGGGCGAAAGCCUGACGGAGCAACGCCGCGUGAGUGGUGAAGGUCUUCGGAGCGUAAAACUCUGUUAUUAGGGAAGAACAUAUGUGUAAGUAACUGUGCACAUCUUGACGGUACCUAAUCAGAAAGCCACGGCUAACUACGUG
rnacentral:rRNA from 1 species